rnacentral:rRNA from 1 species
CCAAGGGCAUCGCUGGGUAGCUAUGUAUGGACGGGAUAAGCGCUGAAAGCAUCUAAGUGCGAAGCCCCCCUCGAGAUGAGAUUUCCUUUGCGAAAGCAAUAAGACACCUCAGAGACUAUGAGGUAGAUAGGCUGGGAGUAGAAGUAGAGUGAUCUAUGGAGCGGACCAGUACUAAUCAGUCGAGAACUUGACCAAA